CCUCAGGCACUGGAAAGGGAAAGGGGUACCACCCCCCAGGGAACAAUGGGCAUCUGAGAAGCUCAGCUACUUCACCAUCAAACAGGCACCGUGCUGGCUUGGCCUCAGUUUCCCCUCUAUCUUAGAUACCUGGCUCACCCCGCACCCAGGCCACACACACCUCCAGUCUAGGGGAGAAGCAUCAGUCGGGACACAGGACACACCCUGAGACCCACCCACUCUGCACCAGCCUGGCUCAGGCACCAGGCCGGGCGGUGGCCGCCUCCAGCUCACCACUUUCAAGGCCGCACUUCCGGGCCCCAACGCCGGCGGAACCAAAGUCCGCCGCUGUAGCGGCGCGGCGAACCACUAGGUCAGAGCAAGUUUCCGGUGUCUCCAUGGAGACUAGUCGCCGCUGCAAGGUCGCACUUCCGGCCAAAGUCGCAGGGGCUGGGACAACCAGGCAGUGUCGCCCUAGAGACGGGGCGGGGGCGGAUCCUGUGCUGUCAAUCUGUGGGCCGCGCCCACUCGCCUGUGCUGCGGGGCGGAAGAAGGGAUCAAUCCUGUGCCCCCUGCAUUGGAAGCAUGGAGUCCUAACCGCUGGACCGCCAGGGAAGUCAUCUGUGGAUUUUAGUAUAGUUGCAAUGUGGUGUAACCACCACCUCCAUUUAGUUCCAAAACAUUUUCCUCACUCCAGUAGCUCCUCAUUUUCCCCUCCCUCCAGCCCCUGGCAAUGAAUAAUC